UACGGGGGGGGGCAAGCGUUGUUCGGAAUUACUGGGCGUAAAGGGCUCGUAGGCGGCCAACUAAGUCAGACGUGAAAUCCCUAGGCUCAACCUAGGAACUGCGUCUGAUACUGGAAGGCUUGAAUCCGGGAGAGGGAUGCGGAAUUCCAGGUGUAGCGGUGAAAUGCGUAGAUAUCUGGAGGAACACCGGUGGCGAAGGCGGCAUCCUGGACCGGUUCUGACGCUGAUGCGCGAAAGCGUGGGUAGCAAACAGG
rnacentral:rRNA from 1 species